CGGAUGGCGGGGAGCAGCGGGACGGGGAAGGUGAUUAGCCCAGGCGGGAGAGCCCCGCGGUGGCUGCAGGAUCCGCGCCCUCCAGGCGCAGCCUGAGCUCUGCUUUGUGUCUGGGACGUCCCUGGGGCGCCCAGGCCGGAUCUGUUUCUGUUCUACUUAAGCCACGUGCUCCACACCACUCCGUUGUCACCGCCUGGCUCUCCGCGGGCCUUUCCUCUCCAGAGACGUGUGUAUUUUAAAAGUUCUACCCGGGGCCCACGUCCCUUCUCUCAGGGAGAAGCACCCAACCCUGAGGCCCUCCCCAGGGGUGCAGAACUUCAGCUAGGUGGGGGAGGUGCUUCCUAAGGCCAAGUACACCCUCCCUCUGGGGGAAGAAGAAACACUGGGGGAAGGGCCUCUGGGUCAAGUUUGGACCCAAAAAUGAAAUCCCGGUCUGGCAAGAAGAAGAGCAGGUGGGAGAGAGAACCCAGCAAAGAGGGCUGCAGGUGGUUGAGAGAAAAGGAAUUUCUGUUAAACCCUGAUACCAACCAUAAUUGAGCAAUGUUUUGUUCUAAUAUUAUGGUGGGUAGAAAGUUAUUAGGUGGCAUAUAAAUCAUCACAUACUAAAGAUGACAAAAAUAUCGCUUGUUUUAAAAAAA
rnacentral:lncRNA from 1 species